UACGUAGGUGGCAAGCGUUGUCCGGAUUUACUGGGCGUAAAGAGCGCGCAGGCGGUCGUUCAAGUCGCGUGUGAAAGCCCCCGGCUCAACUGGGGAGGGUCACGCGAUACUGAUCGACUCGAAGGCAGGAGAGGGAAGUGGAAUUCCCGGUGUAGUGGUGAAAUGCGUAGAUAACGGGAGGAACACCAGUGGCGAAGGCGACUUCCUGGCCUGUUCCUGACGCUGAGGCGCGAAAGCUAGGGGAGCAAACGGG
rnacentral:rRNA from 1 species